AAUGGCCUAGCGCCCCUUCUCUCUCCCGUGGAAGCAAUUCCCCAUUUCUCCACCCGCUAGGGUUUCAUCUCGGCGAUUAGGAUGGCGAUUUCGUUGGCAGAGGGCGCGAGCGCGCGAGGAUGCGUUCUGCUCGUCGGUGGAGGAAGAGAGCGCGGGGGAGGAAGGCUCGCUCGUUGGCGAAGGGCGAUCCGCGCGGUAGUGCGGUGAGCUCUACGUCGGGGAGCAAGGCUACCGGUCGGGCGGCGAGCUCUGCGGCGGAGAGCCAGAAGCGCGCGACGGCGAGGAGCGAGACGGCGGAGAUAUAGUCGUGCGCGAUGACAGGGUGCGAGGUGACGAAGGUCUGCGAAGGAUUUUGCCGACGUCGAGUUAGAAAGUUGAAAGAAGAUGUUGGCGCCACCACAAGAAAUGGUCUUUUUGUUGGGAUAAAAAGGACCGAAGAAUUUGUAUCUUCGAAGUUGCCAUGUGGUUUUUUCCUAUGAGCAUAAGCAUUAUAAUGUGCUCUUGCACUUAUAACAAUGUCAAACCGCAUCCCAAUAAAUGAUUCAUGUGUACUGGAUGCAACUUCCUCAUUCAUGCCAGCUUCGUCAGGAACUCCUUUCAAGUUAGGGUAUGUUGUAGAUUUUAUGUGCAAUGUAGUUCUGGGACUGCUUUGGUUGACUGUAGUGUGUGGUGGCCCAUGGUGACGCGCCUCCUGCCACUGUUCAUCGUAACCACCGACCACUGCUCCUUGGUCAUGUAUAUUUGGCUUUGGAGAUUUGCCAACCAUCUCUUGUGCGGCAGCUUGAGUGCAAAACUGUGGCUCCAUGCCGUUCAUGCCAAAAUCUUCAGUUGGGGGAGCAUUGAGAUCCAAUCCUGACAUAUUUAAAAAUGAGAAUGUUCACUUGAAUUUAUUUUUAAUAUUCUAGUAAUGACCAUGGAGAAGUUUGUUGCUGCAUCUAACUAAGUUGUGUACUGAUCAUGGGUUAGUUGUUUCCUUAUCAUGCUUAAGUUGUGUACUGACAAACAUUAGCAAAAUGCAACCCACAUCAACUACUUCUUUUGUAGCAAGAUAGUUAUGUUGUAUAUUGGUUUCAUUGAGUUUUUUUUGUUCUUUUGAACUUGGUUUACUUUCGAGUUACUACUAGAAACCCACAAGUAGUAUAAUGAAUUAAUUGACAUGCCCCGAAGUAGUAUACCGAUUUAACUGAGUUCUUUCUUGGCAUCCGGCUAAGUUGCUUUCUUAGACUAGAUAAGUUGUUUUACGCAACCUAACUAACUUUAUUUCACCAUGCAUUUAAUUUUUGGUUAAACAACCAAUGAUGUUCCUUAGCUUAAUAAUGAAUUUAAUUUAAAACUUGCUUUUCUAGCAAACUAACUUGAAAUCUGGUAACACAAAAAUGACAAAAGAGACGAACAAGCGUUCUCGCUUGCGUUUACCAGAAGCUGAGGCGUAGCAGGGAGCCUUCCAUGGCCUCGUCCGAAAACUUCCCAGCAGGUAUGUGUUUAAGGACGAGAGAUACAUACAUGAAACUCUCAACUAUUGCGAGAUGGAAAAAUGUAGCCAUUGAAUUUAUGAAUCAAGAGUAUGAACUAAAGAGUGGAUCAGUUCCGGAUAUUACUCACAACUACCUAAUAGUUCUGAGUGUAACAGAUAAACUAGAAAAUUUACAGAUACUUUUAUGGGGGUAGUUUUAGUUCUUCUGGUUCCUAUUAAGCUAUAUGGAUAAGUUGUCUAGCGAUUUAAUUAAAUUGUUUUAUAUCUAUGCUUAAGUUGUGUACUGAAAUAAGUUAAGUUGAUUCCUCGAGCAUUCUUAAGUUGUUGGUAUCCGUACAAUUUACUAGCUGGUUCUUUUAAGCAACAUGCAUAAGUUGUCUAGAGAUUUAAUUAAGUUAUUUUAUCACUAUGCUCAAGUUGAGUAUACUGAAAUAAAUUAAGUUGAUUCCUAGAGUAUGCUCAAGUUGUCGGGUGUUGGUAUAAUCUAUUUAGGUGUUCCUUUUAAGCAACAUGCAUAAGUUGUCUACUGAUUUUAUUUUUUGCUUUGUCAACAUGCUUAAGUUGAGUAUACUGAAAUUAAUCAAGUUGAUUCCUCCAGCAUGCUUAAGUUUGUGGGUAUUGGCGCAAUCUCUGUAGGUGUUCCUUUUGAGCAACAAGCAUAAGUUGUUCACUGGUUUAGUUUGUUGCCUUGUCAACAUGCUUAAGUUGAAACGGAAAAUUAAUUAAGUUCUAUUUUUAGUAUGCUUAAGUUGUAUGUGUAUCUACAAUCUAUCUUGGUUUUCAUUUUCAAGCAACAUGCAUAAGUUGGUUACUGGUCUAAUUAAGUUGCCUUGUCAACAUGCUUAAUGUGCUUAUUUGUGAUAUUGCUAAGAUGUACCAGGAAGCGGUGGAUCCUGGACAGCGUACCUAGUACCAUCUCGAGCGAGGUAGUGGUGGAGGUCAUGGCGCCUAGCGGCACCCCCGAUGCCUAGCGCGAGCGGAAGCCCGCCGUGGUUGCUGGCCAAGGAAUAGAACAUGUAUAUUUUUGUGAUCCACUCGCAAUUUUCAGUCAAAUCGAGAUAUCCAUGGAGUUCUGGACGAAGAAGAAGACCUGUAAUAGUAGUUUGUCUUGCAGAAAGGAAGAAGAGAUGGAGUAGUUUGCCAAGCACAUCGCACGCCAUGCACUGUGUUGUUUUGUACCUUACGUGUAACCUCCCUUUUCUUGGUUGGGUGCUGAAUCAGUCAAACCAGCAUCCGGAUGCUGGGUUGGACAAACAAGCAUCCCGAUGCUGGGAUGGACAAACCAGCACCGGAUGCUGGCUAGCCGGGUCCAAACCUGUGGCACCCCCGG